rnacentral:rRNA from 1 species
AUACAUGCAGUCGACGGCAGCAUUUCGGAUGGCAAGUGGCGAACGGGUGAGUAACGCGUACAGACCUGCCUUAUACUGGAGGAUAGCCCCGGGAAACUGGGAGUAAUACUCCAUGUGAUCGUAAGAUUAAAGCUCCGGCGGUAUAAGAUGGCUGUGCGUCUGAUUAGCUAGUUGGUAAGGUAGUGGCUUACCAAGGCGACGAUCAGUAGGGGGCGUGAGAGCGUGGCCCCCCACACGGGUACUGAGACACGGACCCGACUCCUACGGGAGGCAGCAGUAAGGAAUAUUGGUCAAUGGAGGCAACUCUGAACCAGCCAUCCCGCGUGCAGGAUGAAUGCCCUAUGGGUUGUAAACUGCUUUUAUUUGGGACGAAAAUUAGGUAUUUAUGCUUAACUGACGGUACCUUAUGAAUAAGCACCGGCUAACUCCGUGCCAGCAGCCGCGGUAAUACGGAGAGUGCAAGCGUUAUCCGGAAUCACUGGGUUUAAAGGGUGCGUAGGCGGCAUUAUAAGUCAGAGGUGAAAGCCCGGCGCUCAACGUCGGAAUUGCCUUUGAUACUGUAGUGCUUGAAUCAUGCUGAGGUCGGCGGAAUGAGUCAUGUAGCGGUGAAAUGCAUAGAUAUGACUUAGAACACCAAUUGCGAAGGCAGCUGGCUGGGUAUGAAUUGACGCUGAGGCACGAAAGCGUGGGGAGCGAACAGGAUUAGAUACCCUGGUAGUCCACGCCCUAAACGAUGCAU